GCCCUGUUGCAUAAAAAUUUAUGUCAUAAUGACAUAAAUUUCGAUCAUGACAUAAAAUCAUGCAUAGCUUAUGUCGUUGACAUAAAUUUCGUUGCAUAAAAAUAUUUAUGUAUUGUUUUAGCUUAUGUCAAGUUAUCACGCGAUAUACAUAAACUGAAUAGUCAUGAACGAGCCUGUUGACAUAAACUUGGCAUAAGUUGUCAUUUUUCAGCCGCAGGAAGCUCUUGCGAAAAAGGGGUCUUCGGCUUCCUAUUUGGACGGGAAAGAGGCAUAUUUUGGUGACCCACACAAACGGUGAGAAGAGGUAAAGAGAGAAAGGGGCACAGCAACUGGAAGGAGAGGGAAGUCCAGACACUCUACCACUGUCUGCGAUUGAAUAAGAAAUUUCUCUUUGGAUCAGGGGGUCAAGCUUCUAGUAUGAAGAUUGUUCAAGAGUCAAGACUGUUGAAGAGGUGACGUCAUGGACCUGAUAGCACCUGGCAAGGGAACUAUAUUACUGUUCAUAAAUCUAUUACUCAAGUAUCCUAAAAACGCUUUAAAAAUUUGAACAUUAACAAAAGUUCUAUUUUACAAAGAUAAUAAUCAUUAUAUUGACAUUGUGAAUAUAUUUUAUGAUUAUCAUAAAAUUAUUAUAAUGUAAAUGAUGAUAGGUCAUACUAAUACAACUGAACAACAAGUAGAAAAGAAGACAACCAAGAAGGAGGAGAAGAAGAAAAAGAAGAGGGGUGGAAGAGGAGAAAAGGAGAAGAAGAAUAAAUUACAACACUGUGAGUUCCUCUUCAUGAUAUU